GCGGAUGUGGCGGAAUUGGUAGACGCGCACGGUUCAGGUCCGUGUGGGGGUGACCCCGUGGAGGUUCGAGUCCUCUCAUCCGCA
rnacentral:tRNA from 1 species